rnacentral:rRNA from 1 species
UACGUAGGGUGCAAGCGUUGUCCGGAAUUAUUGGGCGUAAAGAGCUCGUAGGCGGUCUGUCGCGUCGGCUGUGAAAACUCGGGGCUCAACUCCGAGCUUGCAGUCGAUACGGGCAGGCUAGAGUUCGGCAGGGGAGACUGGAAUUCCUGGUGUAGCGGUGAAAUGCGUAGAUAUCUGGAGGAACACCGGUGGCGAAGGCGGCAUCCUGGACCGGCAUUGACGCUGAGGCGCGAAAGCCAGGGGAGCAAAGCGG